rnacentral:rRNA from 1 species
AUUGAACGCUGGCGGCAGGCCUAACACAUGCAAGUCGAGCGGAGCGGCGGACGGGUGAGUAAUGCCUAGGAAUCUGCCUGGUAGUGGUGGAUAACGUCCGGAAACGGGCGCUAAUACCGCAUACUAUCAGAUUAGCAUAGGUCGGAUUGGCUAGUGGGUGGGGUAACGGCCUACCAAGGCGACGAUCCGUAACUGGUCUGAGAGGAUGAUCAGUCAAACUGGAACUGAGACACGGUCCAGACUCCUACGGGAGGCAGCAGUGGGGAAUAUUGGACAAUGGGCGAAAGCCUGAUCCAGCCAUGCCGCGUGUGUGAAGAAGGUCUUCGGGUUGUAAAGCACUUUAAGCUGGGAGGCGUUACCAACAGAAUAAGCACCGGCUAACUUCGUGCCAGCCGCCGCGGUAAUAC